AGUCUGCAACCCGACUACAUGAAGCUGGAAUCGCUAGUAAUCGUGAAUCAGAAUGUCACGGUGAAUACGUUCCCGGGUCUUGUACACACCGCCCGUCACACCAUGGGAGUCAGCAACGCCCGAAGUCAGUGACCUAACCGAGAGGGAGGAGCUGCCGAAGGCGGGGCCGGUAACUGGGGUGAAGUCGUAACAAGGUACC
rnacentral:rRNA from 1 species